GAUGAACGCUAGCGGCAGGCCUAAUACAUGCAAGCCGAACGGCAAGCUUUGUAGCAAUACGGAGCCUAGAGUGGCGUAAGGGUGCGUAACACGUAUGCAAUCUACCCUCAACAGGAGAAUAGCUCCCCGAAAGGGGAUUAAUGUUCCAUAGGAUCAUGGUGCGGCAUCGCACAGUGAUUAAACCGCAAGGGGUUGAGGAUGAGCAUGCGCAUGAUUAGUUAGUUGGCGGGGUAACGGCCCACCAAGACGAUGAUCAUUAGGGGAACUGAGAGGUUGAUCCCCCACACU
rnacentral:rRNA from 1 species